UGGGAGGGAUGAGUUAGUUCAUUCUGGUAGCAUGGGUGCAAGGUGAUAGAGCUGGAGAAGGGACAGUAUUUCCCAAGUACUGCUGAUGAAAUGUCAGGCAGAGAACCCUACAGGCUUCUAACAUGAAUGUUACAGAAACACCACUGGCCAAUAUUUGCAGAGCAUCAUUUGAUGGACAAUAAAGACAUUUAUGUUAUUGGAAGGCUGAAACCCUGCUGGCACUACAGCAAAUUUACCUAUCCUGGUUUGGCAGUCUGAAGGAUAUGAGAGGGUACUCAAAGCAAGCAGGAACAGGAGAUUCACUCUUAAAAUAUCACUCUGGUGCUGGCAACGCUACAUAACUAUUACAGAAGAGAAGUAAGGAAGGAUAUGGGGCCAUCAGAUGACACUGAUCUUCAAGAUUUUUCUUUUGGAUUGCAACUCAAAACCUGAAGGUGAUGUUUGGUCUGUGGCAUGAGGAGGUAGAGCAAUGUCUCUCUCAUUGAAACAACCUGUCUCAAUGUUUUAUGAGAAGAAGAAGAAACAACUGACUGAAAAUAAACCCAAACCAAUCUCCAUGCUGAAAUGUUAAAGAUGAUUUGCAUUUUUUAAUGGGAUCACAGUACUAAAUUUAGGUGUAACUGUAGUCUUUCAAAUAGUACAGAUUUCUCCCUGCCAACUAAGGUAGCACUUGAACUCGCAGAAGACUUGAUGACUCUGCAGAGCUUCUGGAAAUGCUUUGACAUGUUACUUUUAAGAAACCUCUGUUGUUCACAACCUA